AUGGAGUCAUCACGUGUAACAGCAACUCCAUGUGGACUGUGCACAGAUCCCAGUGGAGCUGCUGUUACUUUUGAUGGCCUCCAG
rnacentral:pre_miRNA from 14 species